UAAAGUAUCGGACUUAUUCCCGCAUUUUUCGCCGCCAUUACCACAUUAAGAAGGUAGUUUUACUCAGUAAUUGUUGAUGGAAGUGGUCAAUCAGUGAGCUUCCUGCCCGGGAUGUUGGAGAAAGAGAACUGAAAAGCUGUCAGUGAUCGAUCGUACUCUAGGAAAAUGUGUAUUUCGGAGUUUGUCGUCUUAAAACCCUGGCUUUGAAGAUAAUGAUUGCGAAACAACACGUGUCGUGAAGCUGGCCACACCUCGAAAGGCUGCCCGAAUCUAUUCAGUGAAUUGACGGAAGAUGGAAAGCAGCAUGAGCAAUACAUUCCGGAGACUGUGACAUGACAGCUGCGAUGAAAAGAAACUGUUUAAGGGCAUCGUCUGUGGGGAAUGCUUUAACAAUUUUGUUAAAUUCGUCCUUCAGGUUACAGUAAAAGAUGUACCUCAAUAUAUAACACCGUUCAAAGAAGCCGGCCUGCGCCAACUACUACUUCAAAACAUUAAGAAUUCAGGCUACAUAUAAAACCAACACCUGUUCAAAAAGCUUCAGUUGCUGGUAUUCUUGCCAAAAGAGAUUUAAUUGCAUGUGCUGUCACGGGCCCCGGCAAAACGUUAAUCCAAUUAAUUAACGGCAGCGUACUUGGUACCGGUUUUGAACAUUGUUAGAACAAGGUGUUGCUGCUGCGUCUCAUGCCAUGGGGCAAAAGCCAGAAGUUGUAAUUGUCGCACCCAUUUCGUGAAUUGGCCAUUCAAAUUCAACGCGAGGCGUGUAAAUUCUCCUACAGUUCGGUUUUAAAGUCUGUGAUUAUAUUUGGAGGAACUGUGACGAGCCAUCAGCGGUCAAAUCUUCAAGCUGGGUGUAAUAUUCUUGUCGCGACCGCGGGGCGAUUCAACGAUUUUCUCGACCGUGGAGUACUUGACUUCUCGGGGGUCAGGUUUUAAAUUUUGGACGAAGAUGAUCGAAUGCUUGAUAUGGGUUUCGGCCCCAAUGUUGAAAAAAUUGUCAACCAUCCAACGAUGCAUCCGAAAGGAAUCCGUCGUGUUUGUAUGUGUUCGGCUACAUUUCCAGAUAAAGUACAAGCGCUGGCUGCGACGUACAUGGAAGACUACAUAUUCGUCACAACAGGCAUUGUAGGUGGCACCAAAUCCGGAUGUUGAACAGCUGUUUUUUUUUUUUUUUUUUUUUUCAGUGCUCGAAAAGAGAUAAGAGAGCUAAGCUGACCGAAGUUUUACAAGAUCUCGGUGAUACCAAGACUAUCGUUUUUGUCGACAGCAAAAAGACGGCGGAUUUCGUCGCUGCAUUCUUGUGCAAUUAAAACUUACAAUCUACCAGCAUCCAUGGUGAGCGUAAACGAAAAUCGUAAAUGUCUCUUCCGAAGCUUCUGUCAGAAGAAUAUGCUAGCAAUCAACUCACGAAUUAUGUAACAUGAACAAUAAAAGCCGAUGUCGAGGUCACGAAGAAAACAACACGUCGAGGUGCUGUCAAACGUGUCUCCGUUCCGGAAGGAAGCGCUGGAGGAGAAGAAAGUCUCUGUCCAGCUGGAACGCGACCCCGACAUUGAGACUUUGGCCGCUACAGCCAAAGAAGAGGAAGAGAAAGCACCGGCCGCCAAACGUUCACGACAAAAGAAGGGCCCGGCAGUAUCUGCCGCUACAAUGGCGGAUGAAUCUCCGGCCGUGCCGGCCACGAAACGGACACGUGAUGGCAAGAAAACAACUAGCGAACCUGAGCUUGUUAAGGAGGAUACCUCAUGGCCACCACCACCACCUCGACGUACUAGAAACAUCUAACAGCAAGACCCAUCAAUGAAUUACCUAUUUUAUUUUUAUUUUGUCUUACCCAUAAUUUUUUACCCAUUGAAUAAUUUGUUCACAUAUCGGAUUCUAUGCUGCUUUUGGGUUCACUUCUGUACCUCUUUCCCCAAGUUGACCUCAUUACGUUUUCCUAUCCAUGCGUUGAGGCUCACUUGAUUAUAAUUUUUGUUCUUUAAAUUUUGUGUCCAAUUUCAAUUCUGAGCGACGCCCAAAUAAUUUUGAAGAAAUACGCGUUUUGGUGUGGUUGGUUAAGUAUUCCACGAUUGGUACGGAUUUGUGUGUUACUGAUGUUGGUGGACCUAUUGCACGAGAGCCGCAACAUGAAUUUAUCUUUCCCAACAAUACAUAACUUAGCAUUGAA